GAUGAACGCUAGCGGCAGGCUUAACACAUGCAAGUCGAGGGGUAACAGGGAUUGCUUGCAAUCCGCUGACGACCGGCGCACGGGUGCGUAACGCGUAUGCAACCUACCUUCUACAGGGGGAUAGUCAAUAUACCCCAUACGAUCAUUAAUCUGCAUGGAUUGAUGAAGAAAGUUCCGGCGGUAGAAGAUGGGCAUGCGUCCUAUUAGUUAGUUGGUAAGGUAACGGCUUACCGAGACAUCGAUAGGUAGGGGUCCUGAGAGGGAGAUCCCCCACACUGGUACUGAGACACGGACCAGACUCCUACGGGAGGCAGCAGUGAGGAAUAUUGGACAAUGGAGGCAACUCUGAUCCAGCCAUGCCGCGUGCAGGAAGACUGCCCUAUGGGUUGUAAACUGCUUUUAUACAGGAAGAAUAGUAUCUACGUGUAGGUAUUUGACGGUACUGUACGAAUAAGGAUCGGCUAACUCCG
rnacentral:rRNA from 1 species